ensembl:lncRNA
GUUCUGCAACUGCACAGCUUGGACAAUACCACCAGUUUAAGAGAAGCUGCUGGUGAAGCAACUCCAUAGCUCCUUGUGGCUCUCCCACAUCCUCUUUGCAGAAGGUUCUGAGCACACGGAGGCUUCUGCUGAUAAACGCUCUAAGUUGUGAUAAAGCCAACAUCGUGGCUGUCUUCGCUGCUCACGACGUGAGAUGUGAAGGAAAAUUGCUGAGGGACACUUCCUAUGCAGCUUUCAUCACUGAGGCACUGGUAGGGGGGAGCAGCUCCUCCUCUUCACUCCCCAGCAGGCCACAGUGUGAAGACUAUGACAGCAGAGCAGGCAUGGAUGUGUCCCAUCUGCUGUGGUGUGCAAAAGGACAUUGCCUAU